UUGGGAAUUCAAAAAAUUUGAACUGAGAAAUAUGACAGUACAAUUGUUCAGUCAAUGGAUGCAAACACAAACUAAAUUGCCAAUUUUAGUAUAGAUUUACAGAUUCAACUAGAAAAGGAAUUGAUCAAAGUUUAAAAAGAAAUUAAAGGAAAAAAAAAAUCUCAAGUUUAAAAGAAAAAAUUAGUACAUCAUUUGCUUGACAGGGUAACUUACAACCAGCUGAAACCGGCUUAUGCUUGCACCCCAACCUUCAACUUCCCACCAUCUGAAUUACUUCCAGGCAAGAAUACAACUUCAUUUUCAUGCCGCCACAUGAUAUAAGUGAUGCUACAAAGGUGGCGUUCACAUGCAAGUUUAUUUUGGUAUUUGUUACAACCCCAAGUCAGUCUCCAUGUAUAAAUCCAGUGUAUCUCGCUAACCCCUCUUAGCUCGUGAGAACAAUUUGGUCAUUCCCAAGGCGACAAUCAAGUUUCAAACUGUUGAAUUCACUGUUUAUGUCACAAGACAAAAUCCAAGCUCACUUAACAUUUCUCAAUUGGCCACAAUAAUCAACCUGCAGGCCAAACAAUGUACCUUCCACAGUCACUUGCAACAAGAGCACAAAAUGAUUGUCACCUUCAAUUACAGGCCAGUAUGGUAUACUUCCCAGAUUGCUUAGGAAGCUGCAAUUUCAUUAAGCUGCAAAGGUUGAUUCCAAGGGGAACUUCCUGGAGAGGGUGCUGAAUCUGAAGCAUCUGCAAGAGCUUCAAGCAUGUUUAUGACAUCAGUUGUGUCAUCCAAAUAGUACUUGGCUUUGCUUGGUUUUUGUCCAACAGUACAGGCAAAAACUGAUGUACUUGAGGAAAGAACACCGCUUGUUAUUGCAUUGCCAAUGAUCUCAAACAUGUCCUCAUCUGAUCUGUCAUCACCAACGCACAAUACAAAAUCGGCCUGCCUUCCACUUUCAGCCAUUGAUGUAAAGAUCUUUUCUGCAACGCAACCUUUACUGAUUCCCUGAAAAAUGAAAAAUCAAAGUCAGAAACCAGCAUCAGAUACUAGACAAAUGGUAUAUGCAUUUCCAAGCACUCAAAAUUAUGUAGUUACCAUAAACACAUAUGCAAUAAUUGGUCAACAAUUGUCUUCUUCUAGUUCAAGCCACACUGAAGUAGUUGAUACAGCACCUAUUAAAUGAUCUAACUCUAAGAAAGAAUCAAUCUUCAAUUUUAUCUUAUGAUAUUUAUAUGAUCCAAGCAUGAGUUAUUACAGUUUCGUUGACUCAUUAUUCAAAACAAAAUUGAAACAAUUUCAUAGGAAAUCAUGAAUUUAUAUAUAUAUUUUUUAAUGGCAUAAUCAGCAGAGUUGCUUCAGAAAAGAAAUUCUAAAAUCACUUAGCCAUGGUUAAGAGAGAAGUCAGAUAUUCUAAGAAAGUAUUGUUUGUGAGGGGUAGAGGCAUGCAUUCCCAUUGAGACUGUCACCAAAAAAAAAUAUAUAUAUACAAAUCAAACCCCCAGUAAAUGAUUCUACAAAUUUAAAAUUUAAAGCCAUCUGAAAUACAGAAAAAAGAGAGGUUCAGGAGGGGGGCUGGUGGGAUCUUCAAAUUUCGUUUGGUUAACUUGGUUGUUCAUGCAUGAAUUGGCAAAGAUUUUCGUGCCACAUUCAAGUGCUUCUCAAUUCUGAAAUACAGCAUAUCGAAAUCUGUGCUUGUGUCCCUACCAAGCCCUUUACCACCUUAAUUAGUGCCCAUAAGCAACUUCAUUCAUUUGACGAAAAAGUGAUGAGAUCAACAGUAUAUAGUUAGCAUUACAUAAAACAGAAUAUACAGUAGUUUGCAAAAGCAAAUUUUUUGCUUUCAUGGUAUUGAAACAAUAACUAGGUAGUAUCAUUGGUAAAACAUUCACAGUCUAUUUUGACAGAAGGGCGAAAUUUGAAAGCAAAGCAGAGAUUUGUACCUGUGGCUUUACUUCUACAAUAAACUGACCACUUUUCACAGCAACAGGCUCAUUUGCUAGCACGCUUUCUAAAUGAUCCAACAUCUCCUUGGCCUGGCUGGCUCCAAAACCUGGAUCAGCAUCCCUAUGAUGCCAGACUAGGGCACUCUCCUUGGUCUCAAUAGAAGAGCCAUCUGUUGAUUCUGUAUACAACUUCAUGACAGGCUCAGCUAUUUGAAUCCAUCCGAAAUCACUACUCUGUCCACAAGUCUCCCAGUGCUCGUCAACAGACCAUCUCAUGAAAAAGCCAUGUUCAGCAGCAAUUCCAAGCUUCUUGCAAGGAGAGAACCACUUGCCUAAACUUUCCCUACCUCUACCACUUACAAUGAAAACAGUGUUCUUCACAUCACCACACAGAGCAUUUAUGAUAGAUAUGACCUCUUGACUUGGGGUCUUGUUGAUGGAUGUUUGGGGCAUUAUAGUUCCAUCAUAGUCCAACAAUAUAGCCCUGUUUUUGGACCUUAAAUAUGCAGAGACAAUAGCAUCGAUAGAUAACUUUCUGAAAUUAGGAUCAAGAGCGACAACUCUGAAACCAAAGCUCAAGCCAAUCCCCCAACAAAGCCUUCUAAAAUGGUCUCUGCAACACCUUUCCAUAUCUUGGAAGAAGCUUCUUGACCAGUAUGCCACAUCGUGUGUGCUGACAUACCUGUAAUGUUUCUCAUGGCGCAAUUGCUUCUCAGAAUCAGACAUUGAAAUUGCCUCAUUCAUUGCCUCUGCAGUUGCUUCAAUGUUCCAGGGAUUGACCCGAAUUGCACCACUGAGCGAAGGAGAACAUCCAAUGAACUCUGAUACAACCAGCAUGCUCUUUUUGGGUCCACUGGAUUCAGAACUAUUCUCUGGCCCAAAGACGCCCUGUCUGCAUACGAUGUACUCAUAAGGAGUAAGAUUCAUCCCAUCCCUCACAGCUGCCACUACAACACACUCUGCAAUCGUAUAGUACGCAGCUCUUUCACUAAGGGAUAUGGGCCUAUCAAUGAACACAACUGGUUCAUAUCCAGGUUGACCAAAAGUUUCGUUAAUUCUCUUGCAGCUUGCCUGUAUUUCAGCCUGUAUCUCCUCAAGAUCUUUCCCUUUUCCUCUAGCAGGAUUAGCAAUCUGUACUAAAACUGCCCUCCCCUGCCACUUUGGAUGCUGCUUCAGCAUCUGUUCCAUAGCCAAAAGCUUCAAAUUCACACCUUUAAAUAUGUCCAUAUCAUCAACACCAAGCAAAACAGUUUUUCCUUCAAACUGCUGUUUUAGCUCUCCUACUCUCCAUUCCUUAUCUGCAAGUUUCAAAACUGACUCGAUCUGACCCAUGUGAAUUCCCACUGGCAUGAUCUUUAUUCCAAUGGUCCUGCCAUAAUACUCCAACCCAAUAUAACCUCUCUUUGAUUGAUACUCCAAACCCAGCAUUCGACUGCAACAAGAGAGAAAAUGACGAGCAUAAUCAAAAGUGUGAAAGCCAAUAAGAUCUGAAUUCAAUAGAGCCUUAAGGAUCUCUUCCCUCACAGGUAACGUCCUAUAUAUUUCAGAUGAAGGAAAUGGACUAUGGAGAAAGAACCCCAUUCUCAAUCUAUUAAACCUUCUUCUCAAAAAUGUGGGCAGGACCAUCAAAUGAUAAUCAUGAAUCCAAACAUAGUCAUCCUCUGGGUUUAUAACCUCAAUCACUCUUUGUGAAAAUAUCUUAUUUGCUGCCACAUAUGCCUCCCACAGAGACCGAUCAAACCGUCCACCGUGAUUAACUGAAAAGGGAAGCAUGUAAUGAAAAAGAGGCCACAGAUGUUGCUUACAAAACCCAUGAUAGAACUUGGACAAAAUAUCAGGGGGCAAAAAUGCUGGGACACACUUAAACCUAUCCAAUAAAAGCUGUGAGACAUCAUCUUGUUCGCUCAAAUCAACUUCAACCCGCAAGGAACCAACGUAUAUAACCUCCAUAUCUUCUGGCAAACCAUCUUUCAAUUGCAAUAACAACGAGUCCUCAUCCCAGCUAAAACUCCAUCCUUUAUUAUCUGGUCUGCGCUUGGCUUUCACUGGUAGCUGAUUGGCUACGAUGAUUAUACGGUCCUGAACUACUGAAGAGGGUACAUCAGAGGACACGCUAUUGGCCUGAUCAUCAUCGAGCUCAGAAAUGACCCCAGGAACGGUCAUCACACGAGGCAACCGCUUCUUUUCACGGGGUUGACCCAGUACCGGAAAGUUACCAGAGGCUAGAUCCAAGAGAUUGGUAUACGAUCUAGACAUCAUUUUCACGCUCUUCUUUUGAAAACCCUUUACAACUCACAGAAUCUAUCACAAGAUCUCAAGCUUAUAAACAAAACCGGAAAUUGGUUCUCUCAGAAAAUACUUUAAUUGGGCAGGAUCUCAGUUUUGAAACGAAGAAAGUUUGUUUCUUUCCCUUUUUUGGAUCUGAAAUCGAAUAAAAAAAAUUUGUAAUUUUAUCUGCACAACAAAGAAAUCUAGGGUUUGGUUUGGUCCUCCAUUUCUGAAGAGGCAUUUACAAUCCCUCUCUCUCUCUCUCUCU
rnacentral:misc_RNA from 1 species